AGUUUUCUCAGUCUGAAACCUGUCUGUCUGAUCUCUGAAGAACCCUGGAAAGUCAAUCUGUCAGAUACCUGCCUGCCCGCUCUCAGAAGAAACUGAAAGAGAAGCUCAGAUCCGAAUCUGCAAGAUCAGAAACCAAGCUCUGCCUCUGCAUAGCCCUCUGUCUGCCUUCAGCCUCUGGACCCUGCUGGUUCCCCUCCUCUGCCGCUUUGCUCAAACCUCUGAACAGAGAAACCAGUCGUGAACAGUCCUGGACCUGAUACCCCCCUGCAUCAGUACUUUAUUAUCAUUGUGUUUCAAAAUAAACUGUUGAACUUUU